rnacentral:rRNA from 1 species
GACGAGGGAUCCUAGCGUUGUUCGGAAUUAUUGGGCGUAAAGCGGGUGUAGGCGGGCUUGUAAGUCAGUUGUGAAAUCCCAGGGCUCAACCCUGGAAGUGCAUCUGAUACUGCAAGCCUUGAAUGUGGUAGAGGUUACUAGAAUUCCUGGUGUAGUGGUGAAAUACGUAGAUAUCAGGAGGAAUACCAGAGGCGAAGGCGGGUAACUGGGCCAACAUUGACGCUGAGACCCGAAAGCGUGGGGAUCAAACAGG